ensembl:lncRNA
GGGAGGGAGGGGGUGGGCAUGGUUAAGGCAGUUCUGACUUUUAUCAUAUGGGCUGUAGACUUGUAUCCUGAAUUUCUUCAACAUUGUGAAUGAGAGUCCCCUGAGUUGUCACAUUAGAGAAUUUUGUUAAUUAUUUUUAGACUUUGAUUAACUUAUCUCUUUGAAAAGUUCCUUAGCUCUUGAAACCACUUAGCUCGGUUAUUCCCAAUUACUCCUAUUACCAACUUGCUCCAGAACUUAAUUCCUUGGAAGGCUACAAAUCUUCUAAUUACAGCCUAAACGUAUUUCAUUAUACACACUUAUUCUUGUGUCACCAUUGACCUUCAGUAUAAACAGGUUUCAUCUGACCCUGAGGUAUUUGUAGGCAAUUUUUAAGCUGUGUUGAACGAGGGCAUGGAAGAAUGAUAUUCUGCAAAUCCUUUUCAAUAACCUGUUAUUGCAGGGGGAUUUGAUGGCUUGUGGUCCUUCACGCUUGUAUUGUGGGCAGUGAUUUCACCUGUAAAUGCCUUCAUUGAGUUGAUGAAUUCAUUAAACCUGGUAGUUUCAUAUGCCUUUCCUACAGUUCCAGGAAAAGAAAUACCAUUGUAUAAUAUUACAGAACGGUUCAGGUUGGAAGGGACCUCAGGAAGUGUAUCUCUAGGUUGACUUCCUACUCAAAACAAGGUCAGCUGUGAGAUCAAAUGAGAUUGCUUAGGGCUUUAAUCAGUCAGGUCUUGAAAACACCCAGGGAUGCAGAAGCAUAGUCUGUGCAACCUGCUCCAAUGUUUCUGUCCUCUUGUGGGUGUGGGGAGGCUGCUGCUUGGUCCCUCUGAAGCUGUAUCUUCUUCAGGCUGAAUGCUGACUUCAUUCUAGUUUGUUGAUGUCUUCAUUAUAUUGGGAAAAUGAAAAAUUUGUGGUAUACUAAAUGUGAUCUAACAAGUAAAGGGGGCUGGUCUAGCCUGUGGUACUGUUAGAGCAUACUGCUGGCUUGUGUUCAGCUCACAGUUUGCUAAAACCCUCUGAUCUUCUCCCACCGAACUGCUCCUCGGCCAGUCAGUUCCCAGCCUGUAUCACUGCAAGGGUUUUUUCCCUUCUAAAGUGCUGGACUUCACAUUUGUCCUUGUUGAACUUCAUGAGAUUCCUGUCAGCACAUUCCUCUAGCCUGUCUAGAUCCAUCAGAAUGGUAACCCUGCCAUUAAGCAUACCAAUUUAUUUCUCCUCCAGUUUGAUGUCAUCUCUGACCUUUGUGAAUAAGUACUACAUUGCCUCCUUCAGGAAACUGAUAAAGAUGUUAAGCAGGACAUACCCGCAAGUAGAACCCUUUGGCACUUCAGUUGUUAUUGGCCUGCUGUCAGAAUACGCCCUAUUAACCACAACCCUCCAAAUCUGACCUUCCCACGAGGUUAUUACUUAUUUGAUUAUUCAUCCAUCCGGAAGGUAAUGUACUAAUGUGGAUACAGAAAGAUGUCAGGAGAGAAUGUCAAUAUGCUUGCUGAAGUCAAGGUAAAUGAGAUCUUUUGCUCUUCCUUCCUAUACAAAUCCAUGCAUUUACUCAUGGAAGACAAACUGUUUGGUCAGGCAUGGCUUGCCUUUCUUCAGUUCAUAGUGAUUGCCUCCAUUCAGCACCUUCUCUGUGCACUCAGAAAUGUGUUCCAGGAACCUUUGCUCCAUGACUUCCCUGGAGUCUGAAGUGAGACUAACCAUAUUUUUGACACCUUUUUAAAAUGUGUUCAAUUUUUGCCUUUUUUUUUUUUUUUUUCUCUCCAGUCAUUGAGGAUCUCUGCCAGUCUCUAUAAACUCAAAAAAUGUUAGGCAGCCUUACAAGGGCCUUGCAAUCAUUUCUUGGCAUCCUAGGGCACAGCGUUUUGGGUUCCAUAGUCUCUCUAAGUGUCUCAUUCCUUCAAGCAAUUCCUGACUCAGUCUUUACCCACUGUUGCUGAUUUGUUUUCUGUUUAGACUCUUUUUCUAAGCACAGAAGCUUCAGAGAUGUUUCUGAUGAAGACAGGAUCAGAAAUCAUUAAGUAUCUCAGACUUAUCUGUGUCUCUAGUUAUUAAAUUUUCUACCCCAUUCAGCAGUGGUCACAAAUUUUCCUUGUUAAGUGCUUCUAAUGUUAAUGCAUUUGUGACCUUUUCGGUUGGGUUUUUUGUUGUUGUUGUUGUUGUUUUUUACUUAAUCUUACAACCUCUAAUUAACGUGAAGUAUAUAUUUAGAAAGACACUCUAAAUUGGUGUCCUUUUCUAUUCAGGUUUUUAAGGAAGACAAAACUAGAGAUGUAGUAAAUGUUUCAGUGUGGAAAAGAUGAAUUCUGCUCUGUCUUUUGCAUAUUCCUGUUCUAUAACUAGUGAAAUAGAGACAUGAUCUUAAAGUUUUUCUGUACAAUUUAACUUGUGAGCAGAUGUUCAGAAAGACUUCAGAAAAUAUAAUUAUUAAGACAAGUUAAAUCUUAGAUUUUCUUUCUUCCAUCAAAAUCUUCAAAAAAAGAUUUUAUUUGUGCCUAUUCUAUAAAAAGAAAAAGAGGAAAGAGAAUUAAGGGUUUAGCUUGAAUUAGCUGGAAACUUGACUUUCACAAAUAAAUCCAGCCUUGGUCUAGUUUAAAGAAAGGAUCAAGUCCUACAUGGUUGUGAGAAAUCAGGAAACAGAAAUGUGUAAACAACUGCAUAAAAGUUUUAAAGAAAAAAAAAUAACAUUUCUGCAAAAUUGGCAUAGUUAUAGUGAAAUGUUAAGUGAAAAUCCUAAAUUGCUUCAUCUUUUGUUUUUUGUAGUGAUAUGUGUAUCCUAGAGGUUUUUUUGAAUGUCUCCAAAAACACAAUUCAGUUCUUCUAAAGUAGUGGUGAUGAGUUCUAAUUGCUUUUAAAUUACUUAUUUAGCCCAAGAAAGUUGGGGCUCACCAACAUAUGGAACAGAAAUAAAAUGUUAACCACAUGUCUGAGAUGCUGGACGACUACCUGGGAGAAAUGAAAAACUGCAGAGCUCAACUAAUAGCGAUUGUCAACAGAGGCAGCGGUUUCCAGGCUCUGUUUUUUGUUGUUGUUGUUGUUGUUUGCUUGUUUGUUUGCUUGCUUGCUUUUGACAUCUUUGAUUUUUCUUGAGGUUUUGGGGUCUGCGACUUCCUGGGAAUCCUCCAAGGAUCAGGAAGGUGGCAGCUGCUGCUAGUUGUAGGUCUUCUGCUCUGUGACUCAACUUCAGCACCAUCAAAUUUUUCCGCUACUGGUCCAGACCUACAAGAAGGGUCAUAAAGAGGAUCCGUGGAACUACAGGCCUGUCAGCUUGACCUUGAUGCCAGGGAGCAUUAUGGAGCAGAUCAUCUUGAGUAAGGUGACAAGCUGUCAUGACAAGUGUGGGACAGCCAGAGGAUCAGGCCUGGCCAGCAUAGGUUCACAAAAGGCAAAUCCUGCUUGACAAACUUGAUCUCCCGUUAUGGAGACCAACUGAUGGUCACUCAAUAUAAAGAAACUUAGAAUAAUGAUGAGUGACUAAAGACUGAAGUCUCUGAGAGCAUUAGAGAAAGAGAGUGGGUAUGAAAAAGAGUUUUCAGUUUAUCAUGUGAGUUAAGUGGAAAAUCA